GGGGUUGUAGUUAAUAAUAACAUUUAAUUUGCAAUUAAAAGGUACUUUUUAAGUCUUCCUCA
rnacentral:tRNA from 2 species